AACGAACGCUGGCGGCAUGCCUAACACAUGCAAGUCGAACGAAGCCUUCGGGCUUAGUGGCGCACGGGUGCGUAACGCGUGGGAAUCUGCCCCUUGCUUCGGAAUAACAGUUAGAAAUGACUGCUAAUACCGGAUGAUGUCUUCGGACCAAAGAUUUAUCGGCAAGGGAUGAGCCCGCGUAGGAUUAGGUAGUUGGUGGGGUAAAGGCCUACCAAGCCGACGAUCCUUAGCUGGUCUGAGAGGAUGAUCAGCCACACUGGGACUGAGACACGGCCCAGACUCCUACGGGAGGCAGCAGUGGGGAAUAUUGGACAAUGGGGGGAACCCUGAUCCAGCAAUGCCGCGUGAGUGAUGAAGGCCUUAGGGUUGUAAAGCUCUUUUACCAGGGAUGAUAAUGACAGUACCUGGAGAAUAAGCUCCGGCUAACUCCGUGCCAGCCGCCGCAGUAAUAC
rnacentral:rRNA from 1 species